rnacentral:rRNA from 1 species
UACGUAGGGUGCGAGCGUUGUCCGGAAUUAUUGGGCGUAAAGGGCUCGUGGGCGGCCAACUAAGUCAGACGUGAAAUCCCUCGGCUUAACCGGGGAACUGCGUCUGAUACUGGAUGGCUUGAGUUUGGGAGAGGGAUGCGGAAUUCCAGGUGUAGCGGUGAAAUGCGUAGAUAUCUGGAGGAACACCGGUGGCGAAGGCGGCAUCCUGGACCAACACUGACGCUGAGUGAGCGAAAGCCAGGGGAGCAAACGGG